rnacentral:rRNA from 1 species
CCUACGGGAGGCAGCAGUGGGGAAUAUUGGUCAAUGGUCGCAAGCCUGACCCAGCAACGCCGCGUGAAGGAAGAAGGCUUUCGGGUUGUAAACUUCUUUUGUCAGGGAAGAGUAGAAGACGGUACCUGACGAAUAAGCCACGGCUAACUACGUGCCAUCAGCCGCGGUAAUACGUAGGUGGCAAGCGUUGUCCGGAUUUACUGGGUGUAAAGGGCGUGUAGCCGGGUUGACAAGUCAGAUGUGAAAUCCUGCGGCUUAACCGCAGAACUGCAUUUGAAACUGUUGAUCUUGAGUACUGGAGAGGCAGACGGAAUUCCUAGUGUAGCGGUGAAAUGCGUAGAUAUUAGGAGGAACACCAGUGGCGAAGGCGGUCUGCUGGACAGCAACUGACGGUGAGGCGCGAAAGCGUGGGGAGCAAACAGGAUUAGAUACCCUAGUAGUC